UACGUAGGUGGCAAGCGUUGUCCGGAAUUAUUGGGCGUAAAGCGCGCGCAGGCGGUUCCUUAAGUCUGAUGUGAAAGCCCCCGGCUCAACCGGGGAGGGUCAUUGGAAACUGGGGAACUUGAGUACUGAAGAGGAAAGCGGAAUUCCACGUGUAGCGGUGAAAUGCGUAGAGAUGUGGAGGAACACCAGUGGCGAAGGCGGCUUUCUGGACCAGUACUGACGCUCAUGCACGAAAGCGUGGGGAGCAAACAGG
rnacentral:rRNA from 1 species